AAUGGUGAGAAUCCAUUCCACCGAAAGCCUAAGGGUUCCUGAGCAACGAUCGUCGUCUCAGGGUAAGUCGGGACCUAAGCCGAGGCGGAAAAGCGUAGGCGAUGGACAACAGGUUGAAAUUCCUGUACCGGUGUGAAUCGUUUGAUCGAAGGAGUGACACAGUAAGGUAGGUCAGCACGCGAUUGGAAGUGCGUGUUUAAGCAUGUAGGUUGAGUUAUAGGCAAAUCCGUAGCUCUAAAAGCUGAGAUGUGAUGACGAGCUGUUUACAGCGAAGUGAUUGAUCCUACACUGUCGAGAAAAGCUUCUAGGUAGAGACACAUCGCCCGUACCAAAACCGACACAGGUAGGCGGGGAGAGAAUCCUAAGGUGCGCGGGAAAACCCUCGUUAAGGAACUCGGCAAAAUGCCUCCGUAACUUCGGGAAAAGGAGGACUCAUGUAGUGUGAAGGGCAGUAACGCGUGGAGCAUGAAUGAGUGGCACAAGAGAGGCGCAAGCGACUGUUUACCACAAACACAGGUGCCUGCUAAAGCGAAAGCUGAUGUAUAGGUGCUGACACCUGCCCGGUGCUGGAAGGUUAAGAGGAGGGGUUAGACUUUGGUCGAAGCUCUGAAUUGAAGCCCCAGUAAACGGCGGCCGUAACUAUAACGGUCCUAAGGUAGCGAAAUUCCUUGUCGGGUAAGUUCCGACCCGCACGAAAGGUGUAACGACUUGCGCACUGUCUCAACGAGGGACCCGGUGAAAUUGAAGUACCUGUGAAGAUGCAGGUUACCCGCGACUGGACAGAAAGACCCCAUGGAGCUUUACUGCAACCUAAGAUUGAACUUAGUUAAUGAAUGUACAGGAUAGGUGGGAGACUUAGAAUCUAGGGCGCCAGUCUUAGAGGAGUCGUUGUUGGGAUACCACCCUUUGAUUAAUUGAUUUCUAACAGGCCGAUUAACAACCGGCUGGACAGUCUUAGGCGGGCAGUUUGACUGGGGCGGUCGCCUCCUAAAGAGUAACGGAGGCGCCCAAAGGUUCCCUCAGAGCGGACGGAAAUCGCUCGAAGAGUGUAAAGGCAGAAGGGAGCUUGACUGCGAGACGGACAGGUCGAGCAGGGACGAAAGUCGGGCUUAGUGAUCCGGUGGUGCCGAGUGGAAGGGCCAUCGCUCAACGGAUAAAAGCUACCCUGGGGAUAACAGGCUAAUCUCUCCCAAGAGUCCAUAUCGACGGGGAGGUUUGGCACCUCGAUGUCGGCUCAUCACAUCCUGGGGCUGAAGUAGGUCCCAAGGGUUCGGCUGUUCGCCGAUUAAAGUGGUACGUGAGCUGGGUUCAGAACGUCGUGAGACAGUUCGGUCCCUAUCCAUCGCGGGCGCAAGAAACUUGAAGGGGGCUGCUCCUAGUACGAGAGGACCGGAGUGGACGAACCGCUGGUGUACCAAUUAUCCUGCCAAGGGUACAGUUGGGUAGCUACGUUCGGGACGGAUAAACGCUGAAAGCAUCUAAGCGUGAAACCAGCCUUGAGAUGAGGUUUCUCAUAGCAUAAGCUAGUAAGAUCCCAUGUAGACGACAUGGUUGAUAGGCCAGGUGUGGAAGAGCUGUGAGGCUUGGAGCUGACUGGUACUAAUAGAUCGAGGGCUUUACUUA
rnacentral:rRNA from 1 species